rnacentral:rRNA from 1 species
UGAGUAACACGUUGGAACCUAGCCCCAAAGUGAGGAAUAAGCCACCGAAAGGUGGUCUAAUACUUCAUAAUAUCCAUCUCGUAUGGAUUAAAGCUUUAUGCGCUUUGGGAGGGGCCUGCGUAACAUUAGCUUGUUGGUGAGGUAAAAGCUCACCAAGGCUUCGAUGUUUAACUGGUUUGAGAGGAUGACCAGUCACACUGGGACUGAGAUACGGCCCAGACUCCUACGGGAGGCAGCAGUAAGGAAUCUUCCACAAUGGGGGCAACCCUGAUGGAGCAAUACCGCGUGCAGGAUGAAGCGUUUCGGCGUGUAAACUGCUUUUAUCACCGAAGAUUAUGACUGUAGGUGAAGAAUAAGGACCGGCUAACUACGUG